rnacentral:rRNA from 1 species
AACGAACGCUGGCGGCAUGCCUAACACAUGCAAGUCGAACGAGACCUUCGGGUCUAGUGGCGCACGGGUGCGUAACGCGUGGGAACCUGCCCUUAGGUUCGGAAUAACUCCCCGAAAGGGGUGCUAAUACCGGAUAAUGUCUUCGGACCAAAGAUUUAUCGCCCUUGGAUGGGCCCGCGUUGGAUUAGCUAGUUGGUAGGGUAAAAGCCUACCAAGGCGACGAUCCAUAGCUGGGCUGAGAGGAUGAUCAGCCACACUGGGACUGAGACGCGGCCCAGACUCCUACGGGAGGCAGCAGUGGGGAAUAGUGGACAAUGGGCGGAAGGCUGAAGCAGCAAUGCCGCGUGAGUGAUGAAGGCCUUAGGGUUGUAAAGCUCUUUUACCCGGGAUGAUAAUGACAGUACCGGGAGAAUAAGCUCCGGCUAACUCCGUG